ensembl:lncRNA
CAACAAUCACCACCACCAACAAUCACCACCACCAACCACCAACAAUCACCACCACCACCAACAAUCACAACACCACCAAUCACCACCACCAACAAUCACCACCACCAACCACAAACAAUCACCACCACCAACAACAACCAAUUACCACCAGCAACAACCAACCACCACCACCACCAACAACAACCACCACCACAACAACGACCCACCACCAACAAUCACCACCACCAUCAAUCACCAACCACAAACAAUCACCACCACCACCAACCACCACCAACAACAAACAACCACCACCAACAAUCACGACCACCAACAACCACAACAAUCACCACCACCAACAAUCACCACCACCAACCACAAACAAUCACCACAACCAACCACCAACAAAAACCAACCACCACCAACAACAACCAACCAACCACCACCAACAACCAACCACCACCAACAACCAACCACCACCAACAACCAACCACCACCAACAACCAACCACCACCAACAACCAACCACCACCAACAACCAACCACCAACAACCAACAACCAACCAACAAACCAACCAACAAACCAACAACCACAACAACCAACAAACCAACCACCAACAACAACCAACCAACCAACCACCACCAACAAAAACCACCACCAACAACCAUCCACCACCAACAACCAUCCACUACCAACAACCAUCCACCACCAACAACCAUCCACCACCAACAACCAACCACCACCAACAAAAACCACCACCAACAACCAUCCACCACCACCCACAACCAUCCACCACCAACAACCACCACCACACACAACCAACCACCACCACAACAACGACCCACCACCAACAAUCACCACCACCAUCAAUCACCAACCACAAACAAUCACCACCACCACCAACCACCACCAACAACAAACAACCACCACCAACAACCAUCCACCACCAACAACCACCACCACACACAACCAACCACCACCACCCACAACCACCACCCAACAACCAACCACCACCACCACAACCAUCCACAACCAACCACCACCACCCACAACCA